rnacentral:rRNA from 1 species
UGGGGAAUAUUGGACAAUGGGCGCAAGCCUGAUCCAGCCAUGCCGCGUGAGUGAUGAAGGCCUUAGGGUUGUAAAGCUCUUUCGCCGACGAAGAUAAUGACGGUAGUCGGAGAAGAAGCCCCGGCUAACUUCGUGCCAGCAGCCGCGGUAAUACGAAGGGGGCUAGCGUUGUUCGGAAUCACUGGGCGUAAAGCGCACGUAGGCGGAUUGUUAAGUCAGGGGUGAAAGCCUGGAGCUCAACUCCAGAACUGCCCUUGAUACUGGCAAUCUCGAGUCCGGAAGAGGUAAGUGGAACUGCGAGUGUAGAGGUGAAAUUCGUAGAUAUUCGCAAGAACACCAGUGGCGAAGGCGGCUUACUGGUCCGGUACUGACGCUGAGGUGCGAAAAGCGUGGGGAGCAAAACAGGAUUAGAUACCCUGGUAGUCCACGCCGUAAAACGAUGGAGGCUAGCCGUUGGCGAGCAUGCUCGUCAGUGGCGCAGCUAACGCAUUAAGCCUCCCGCCUGGGGAGUACGGUCGCAAGAUUAAAACUCAAAUGAAUUGACGGGGUCAUAGCUGUUUCCU